CAGCAGAAACACGCGGAUCCUAGGCAGUCCGGGUCGGAUCGGGCCGGAUGGCUCCGGAACGACGUCGUUUUGGGGCUCUCAGAACCUUCCCAAAAUGGCACCGUUUUGGUAUCACAUAAAUAAAUAAAUAAAACUAAAAAAACACUUUCUCUUCAUUUUAAAAAAACAAACAGAGGGCUCUCCCUCCCUCUCUCUACUCUCCCCGGGAGCUACCCAGAAUCUGGCGAGAAACCGCCGCCGGCACCGCCGCGGACAGUGACCGGGACACCCAAAAGUCACGUUUUUAAACCCCGAUCUCGACUCCCCCAAAAAAACUGUCCUCCGGACUCAAAAGACCAAGAAAGGAAGGGUGUUUCAUACUCUUCUCGGUCCGAUUCCAACACCAGAGAAGAUCUCCGGCGACAGGCUUUCGAAACCGGUGUCAGAGAAACUGGUGGAGCAGGUGGCCGAAACAAUGGCGAUGGCAGAUGGUAGGUGACGGCGGCGGCGGAAGUCAGGAGGCAGGUGGUGCAGCGCAAUAGGGUUAGGGGGAUUAGGGUUUUCUGAUAGCUUUAGGCUAUUGGGCCAUUGGGCUGUUCAUUGUAAUUGGGUUUUGGGCCAGGGUUAUUUCGGGCUUUAAUUUUUGUAUUUGGGCCGAAUUGGGUUAAUUGGCACUAGGCCCGGGUAAAAUUGGGUCUGCACACUUUUCAUCUAUAAUAAUAAUAAUAAUAAUAUGUUAAAAACAUAUUUUGCUAAA